rnacentral:rRNA from 1 species
AUACGGAGGGUGCAAGCGUUACUCGGAAUCACUGGGCGUAAAGGACGCGUAGGCGGGUUGUCAAGUCUGAUGUGAAAUCCUAUGGCUCAACCAUAGAACUGCAUUGGAAACUGGCAACCUAGAGUAUGGGAGGGGGAGAUGGAAUUAGUGGUGUAGGGGUAAAAUCCGUAGAUAUCACUAGGAAUACCGAAAGCGAAGGCGAUCUCCUGGAACAUAACUGACGCUAAGGCGUGAAAGCGUGGGGAGCAAACAGGAUUAGAUACCCUAGUAGUCC